UACGAAGGGGGCUAGCGUUGUUCGGAAUGACUGGGCGUAAAGGGCGCGUAGGCGGUUUUUCAAGUCAGAUGUGAAAGCCCCGGGCUUAACCUGGGAACUGCAUUUGAUACUGGAUGACUAGAGUGCGAGAGAGGAAAGUGGAAUUCCUAGUGUAGAGGUGAAAUUCGUAGAUAUUAGGAGGAACACCAGAGGCGAAGGCGGCUUUCUGGCUCGCAACUGACGCUGAGGCGCGAAAGCGUGGGGAGCAAACAGG
rnacentral:rRNA from 1 species